ACAAAAAAAAGUUCUGUAAAAGGGUUGAAUCCGACGCAUUUAGGAGGCUACUAUAGGCUCUCCUUCCGAACUCCUACUCAAUACGUCCACGACGUGCAGAACGGUAACUUGUCGCCUAGAUAUCCAAGCUUUGGUGCACGGGGUAACCCACCCCCUUGGGCGGAUGGGCGACAAGGCUGAAUUGAGAGGU
rnacentral:ribozyme from 1 species